rnacentral:rRNA from 1 species
GACGAACGCUGGCGGCGUGCUUAACACAUGCAAGUCGAACGGAGUGGCGAACGGGUGAGUAACACGUGGGUGAUCUGCCUUGCACUUGGGGAUAAGCUUGGGAAACUGGGGCUAAUACCGGAUAUUGCAAGAUGUGGUCGCGGCCUAUCAGCUUGUUGGUGGGGUAAUGGCGUACCAAGGCGUCGACGGGUAGCCGGCCUGAGAGGGUGUACGGCCACAUUGGGACUGAGGUACGAGCCAGACUGCUACGGGGGGCAGCGGUGGGGAAUAUUGCACAAUGGGCGGAAGCCGGAUGCAGGGUCGCCGGGUGGGGGAUGAAGGCUUUCGGGUUGUAAACUCGUUUCGACAGGAACGCGGUACCUGUACAGGAAGCACCGGCUAACUACGUGCCAGCAGCCGCGGUAAUUC